GUAGGUGGCAAGCGUUGUCCGGAAUUAUUGGGCGUAAAGCGCGCGCAGGCGGUUCUUUAAGUCUGAUGUGAAAGCCCACGGCUCAACCGUGGAGGGUCAUUGGAAACUGGAGAACUUGAGUACAGAAGAGGAAAGCGGAAUUCCACGUGUAGCGGUGAAAUGCGUAGAGAUGUGGAGGAACACCAGUGGCGAAGGCGGCUUUCUGGUCUGUAACUAACGCUGAGGCGCGAAAGCGUGGGGAGCAAACAGGAUUAGAUACCCUGGUAGUCCACGCCGUAAACGAUGAGUGCUAAGUGUUAGGGGGGUUUCCGCCCCCCUUAGUGCUGCAGCUAACGCAUUAAGCACUCCGCCUGGGAGUACGGCCGCAAAGCUG
rnacentral:rRNA from 1 species